GAUCUAAAUGAAGUUCGAAAAUCGCCGUUAGGGGCGCUUGUGAUGAUUGGGAUACUAGAAAUACACAGCUUCUUAUGGCAAGAAUAACUAUUUUGUUAUAAAUUAUAGAGCCAAGUUAAUAUUUGGGCAUAUUUUUACCAGAGUUAGCUUUUAGAAACGUGGUUUUUCUAAUUGAGCAAUGUGCGUGGCUAAAAUUGUGAAUACAAAACCUUAAAUUUGAGUUUGAAAAUGCAUACACGACCGAAGAAACAUAUAAGCUGCUAAAAUAAAUCUUCCCUAGAACUGUUGUACAAAAAAGAUAGAAGUUCCAGCAACAAAUUUAUCACCAGUUCAACCUUUGAUUUGAUGUAAACAGUAAUUGUUUCUUGAUGAGAAAUGCGAAUGAAAUAGUUUAUGGUGUGAUUGUGUUAGUGUUUUAUUAAUAGUUUUGUUGAUGCAGUUUAAAGGUUCAUAGUUUUUCAUUAAAACAUUUGAAAUUGACAUGUU